rnacentral:rRNA from 1 species
UACGUAGGGGCAAGCGUUGUCCGGAUUUAUUGGGCGUAAAGAGCGUGUAGGCGGCCUGAAAGGUCAGCUGUGAAAACUCGAGGCUCAACCUCGAGACGUCGGUUGAAACCAUCUGGCUAGAGUCCGGAAGAGGAGUGUGGAAUUCCCGGUGUAGCGGUGAAAUGCGCAGAUAUCAGGAGGAACACCGGUGGCGAAGGCGGGUCUCUGGGCCGAUGCUGACGCUGGAGGAGCGGAAAGCGUGGGGAGCGAACAGG